rnacentral:lncRNA from 1 species
CUGACAUUCGCCCCAUUUUUAGGUGAACAAAAAUACAUAAAUAAAUUACUAAAUAGGCUUAUUACAGAGUCAUUCUGCUUUUUCAUAUACCUACAGCGAAAAUGAAUCAUAUUUUAAUGCAGGAAAACCAGGUGACAACAUAUUUGAAUUCUGUAUAAGAUAAUGAGCUGUAUUUUCAUUUGAGAUGUGUCAAAAUAAAAUACCACUGGGAGAAAGUGUGUCUUACUGAAUCCUUUAUAAUAGGCAACAUAACCAGCAAUGUGUGAAACCAGAGAAAUUCAAAACCGCAUACUAAGAAUCACCUUUAAAAGGUGGCGAGAAUCUUUUAAAUUCUUUCCAGCUCUUCUUUUUGGGAUAGAUCACAGAGAGGAGAACCCUCACAAAGAUUUUGGGGUCCAUUAUGGGAACAAUUCUUCCACGGCGGAUAUUGAUAUUUUUGUUAAUGAAAUGCCCACCUGAUGGUACAAACCUUGAGCUGAGCUGUCUGAGAUUUGGACUGUGCACAAACAGACAGACCUUGAAGCUCGCUCUAAUAAAACCAACAGUUUUCUUUUUUCUCUUUUUAGUUAUUUCAAUCACUGCUGAGUCUGCGUGGCAAAAAAAAAAGAAAAAAAAAGACAAAAAGGGUUAUUUUUUGCUCAUGAACAUAUAAAUGAAUGAAAGACGAACAUGCCUCACUGCUCUUCCCAAGAUGAGCCUCAAGACAAGAACAGCGUUUUCUGACCAAGCAAUUCAAUCAUUUAUAUGCCCUUUCCUUCCAAUAAUGUGCUCCCAGGGAAAGUAUCCACCAUACCUGCAGUGCUCUGGCCAAAUUCCAGUUCGGGUAAUUAUGUUCUGCCUGUCUAAACUCUGCCUGGAGUUUCAUUUGGAGGAAGCAUUGUUUGCUCCCUGCUCAUUGUUGUGGGCACACGGAUCAGGUGCUGGGCUCAUCUCUGCAGGGGCUGGCUGGGCUCCAGCCCUGGAUGAAGCGAGAUGCAAGAGCAGAGCAGCUUGUGCUAAAUUUGCAAAGCGUCAGGAGAUCUUUGGAGUGAGAGGUGCUGUGUUAAUGGGAGGUCACCGGUGCUAUCUGGGGUGCAAAUGCAUCCCUGCUCAGAAGCUUUAUGGGGAAAAAAACCCAACCAACCAACCAACCAACAACAACAACAACAACAAAAAAAAACAAAAAAAAAACAAAAAAAAAAAACAGAAAAAGCUCUCUUGA